rnacentral:sRNA from 1 species
AGAGAGGUUGGCGGCAGUGGUGGCUCUCCGGGCUGGGUUGUCAGUCAGUGAGAGGAGGGGGAAGAUGGUUCACCGGGACCCGUUCUGCUAGGAAGAAGGGGAGCAGUUGGUGCUGCUACUCGGGAGGAAGCAGAGCAGCCUCCGUCGCUGUCGCUGAGAGCCUCACGAGUCGAGGUCCUGCAGGUGGAGCUCCGGCAGCCGCCCUGGUUGAAGAUUUAGAACAGAUGUGGAAAAAUGUUUACUUCAGAGAAAGGGGUUGUGGAGGAAUGGUUGUCAGAGUUUAAGUAUUAGGUUACUCUUGAUCAAAUGACAGAAAUGGAAUGUUGCCUCGAGAUCUUUUGUGUCAUACUUUUGAAAUAUUGAAGAAUGCCUUAAUCUCUUCUUUAUGUAAGCAGUUGCAGUAAAACCUUUUUUCCCCCCCUCUGGAGAAUUGUGAAAGGUUUCCAAAUAGUCCACAUUUGCUUGCCCUUCUGACAUUACCAGAAACAUCUUUACCAAAUUAUGCCACAAAUUUGAAAGACAAGA